GAGCGACGCGUUGCGCCAGGAGCUCCUCUGGUCCGGCGUGUGGCAGGAAACUAUUGUUUAUUGAUUAUUUUCACUGAAACUACUUGGCAUAGUCGGCAGGAUAUCAGAAAAACCCGCCUGAGGUCACCUGGAUCUACUUUGGACCGGUGCUCGGGAGACCAAGCCUGGGCCCUUUGAGCCCCUCCGGCUUCAAAGCACCCUUCAGGUGCUUUGGAUAUUCCAAGCUUGCUUCUGAAGCCGAUCACAGUGUUCUAUCUUCGGAUGAAGAUCAGAUGCUCCAUGACCUGCACCUAGGAGACUGGGAAUACUGGAAAAGAUAUCAUUUAAAGGACUAUCUCAAACCUAAAAGGAAGGAUCCUUAUCAGGUACUCUAAACUAGCUCAUGCACAGUAAAACUGGAGGGAAUUAACUCUUCAAUUUUUAUUUCUCACUUAAAAAGGGCCUCUGCAUCAGACUGGUCUAAAGAGGGGACUGCUGACCUCAAAGUCACCUUAAAACAACCAUCAAGCUAGGACGAGAAGACGAUGACCACAGUGGUGGACAGCUGACCCAAGAAUCCAGGCCAAGCCUGUAAGACCCAUCCUACUAGUUCGAUUGAACUGUUAUUCAAAUGUUUGUCUCCCUAUCAAAACUGAAAGUUACUCUUUUACUUCUAGCUAUACUUUUGCCCCAAUAUUGAGGAUGGAAAGAAAAUUCUUUAGUAAAGUUGUCACAAAGCAUAGCUACUGGGAUAGGCCCCUCAUAAUACCUGUCACUGACUUUUCAGAUGUUGCUAAUGUUACCACUCACCCAGACCAACCUGUCUCUGACCUAAUCUUUCAGGUUUAAAUUCUUCAACGUAUUAAUAUGGCUAUUCCUUGUCUGAUACUAUCUUCAGUCCCUAGAGACUGAGCAAUACUUACCCCAGGACCCCCUCCCUCUGUCCCUUACUUAACUGAAAAAUGUCUUAAUAGCUGACAAAUAGAAGGUUUAUAUUUAUUAGAAUAUUAUGUUAUCCCAUUGUCUAUACAUCAGGAAAUAAAUGA